rnacentral:rRNA from 1 species
GUCUACGGUCAUACCACCCUGAACGCGCCUGAUCUCGUCUGAUCUCGGAAGCUAAGCAGGGUCGGGCCUGGUUAGUACUUGGAUGGGAGACAUUUCCUCCUGAUAAUCUCUCUUUCUCUUGACU